AUGGACAGAGUAAAAAACUUUCGUCCUCCAAGCCAGAAAGACUUCUUCCUUCGGUAGAAGUUUGUCAGAGAAAACCUUGCUAACUAAAGGUCCAAUGAACAUUGUUCUGUUGAGAUAGACUUUUGGAAUUACUGGGACUUUUCUCGUUGCUCCGCGGCACCACACAGUCGCCAUUUUGAGGCUUCAAGAGAGCCCUGUUUCUUGUUCCCUUUGGUCAGGUUUUGAUGUAGGCCUGUGAUUCAACAAUGAUCCACUCCAAAGAUGGCGAGCCACUGUACCAGGAUCCACUGUGAUGAUGACUUAUUUCAAGAGAAUUUGAAAUAUUUUGGAUGGACUGUGAACUUUGCUGAUUCUGCUUGAGUGGUAGGGCAGACUUGCAUUUCACUGUUCCUCUGCAUAUCCUGCAAGGACAAUAAGAGAUUUUAACACUGAAAUCUCACAAUUUAAAUGGUGUGUUUUGAUACCAUAAAGACUGAGUCAAAUCCUCCGGAGGUAUAAUUUUGUUUCUUAUCUCAGUAUUUUGGGCCCAUUCUCUUUUGAUGUAAUUUUGUUACAUUCUUUUACUAUGGGUGAGAGUGUUAAGUAACCAAAUUAGAGAUGAAAGGUUGUACUGCACUUGCCAUAUUUUCAAUAUAUGUCAUCAAGCUAAACCUACUGAGGUGGUCUAAAUAAUCAUCCAUCCUGCUCCAGCAAUCAAACCUUGGCAUGUGGUCCAGUAUCCAACUGUAUACUGGAAUUUGUAUUUUACCUAUUGAAUUGGGUCACAAUAGCAUAAUACAUCUCUUUGACAGCUUCAACCUUGAAAUUAUUUGUCCCAAACACAAAAUGGUUUGUCUUGUACUUUCCAGACGUGUAGAUCCAGCAAU